AAUGGAUCCUGAUAGAGCCAUGAUGGAUGACGUAGAAAGUAAUGUGCCGGCUCUUGCCGAAGGGACCGCGCCGGUUGAGAGUGAGCCCGUGACUAUGGGCCAAGGUAGAGGGGCUAGAGAAGCUUGCCUCCGGAUGAUGGAUACUUGGUACACGGAGUUUUUUUGUGCGAACCUGAACACUCCACCUCCCCCACCUUUGAUUCCUCAGUAUGCCCCUGUAGUUUUGCAAGGUGCAUUUAUGGUUAGAAGGGAGAAACCUCCAGUGGACAAGAUUCGAAAGCAAGGGGUUAAAGAAUUCCAGGCUAAUAAAGACGAUGACCUUGAGAGGGCAGAGUUUUGGCUGGAAAAUACAAUAAGGGUAUUCGAUGAACUGUCAUACACACCUGAAGAGUGCGUAAAGUGUGCCGUGUCACUCCUACGAGACUCUGAUUAUCAGUGGUGGAAUACUCUCGUGUCAGUCGUAUCGAGAGAGAGGAUCACUUGGAAAAUCUUCCAAGAAGAGUUUCGGAAAAGUAUAUUAGUCAAAGAUUUAUAGAUCAAAAGAGGAAGGAGUUUCUAAAGUUAAAGUAAAGUCGUAUGUCAGUGACUGAAUAUGAGCGGCAAUUUGUGAGGCUCAGCAAGUAUAUGCGGGAGUGUGUAUCUACAGAAGCCACCAUGUGUAAGAGGUUUGAGGAUGGCCUCAAUGAAGACAUCCGAGUGUUUGUGGGCAUUUUAGAGCUAUGUGAAUUUGUAGCCCUUGUUGAAAGAGCCUAUAAGGCCAAAGAGCUGAUUAAAGAAAGGAGAAAAGCGGCAUUUGAGUUGCGGGAUUCGAAGAAGAGAUAGAUGGGGAAAUCACAUCAGUCCUCAUCCAAGAGAUUAAAGGAAUUCUCUACCCGACCGAAUACUUCGGUGGGGUAUUCAAACAGAAACAAGAAUCAGCAAAACACAACAUCUGGAGCCCAGACCACUUCGGUUGCGAGUGUCGGCAAUGCUCGACCAAAUAAGUCGGAGUGUUCGCAUUAUGGAAGACAUCACUUCGACGAGUGCUGAAGAAACGAAAGGGGCUGCUUCAAGUGUGGGUCACUAGACCACUUUAUCCGUGAUUGUCCUGAAGUGAAAGAGAAAAGAAGUAAGAAGUGAAGGCAAGUAGUGCACCGUUGAGGGGUAGACCACAAAAGAACCCCAAGAGUGAGGCUAGCAAUAGGGGUGCAGCAAAAGAUAUAGCAGUGAGGUCUGAGGGCAGAGCACCUGCAAGGACUUAUACUAUACGUGCCAGGGAAGAGGCAGAGUCUCCCGAUGUGAUUACGGGUACUUUUUCUAUCCAUGAUCUAACUGUUGUUGCUUUAAUUGACUUCGGGAUCUACCCACUUGUACAUUUGUAUGGAAUUGAUACCUCAUAUAGGCAUGGUAGUAGAGUCCAUUGAGUUUGUGAUCAAAGUGUCUAAUCUUUUAGGCAGAUAUGUACUAGUGGACCAAGUGUGUAGAAAUUGUCCUUUGAUAGUUAAAGGUUAUUGUUUUUCGGCUAACUUGAUGUUAUUGUCGUUUAAUGAAUUUGAUGUAAUCCUUGGGAUGGACUGGUUGACUUCUCAUAGUGUUGUAGUUGACUAUGAGAGAAAAGUUAUUGAGUUGAAAUGUGAAGACGGGAAUGUUCUUCGGGUUGGACCAGAUGAGUCGGAUAAAUUGCCUGUAAUAGUAUCGUCUUUGACUGCUGAGAAAUAUUUGAGAAGAGGAUGUGAGGCUUACUUAGCUUUUCUGUUGAAUACUCAAGUGUCUGAGUUGAAGAUUGAAUCAGUACCGGUAGUCUGUGAGGUUACAGAUGUGUUCCUGGAAGAAUUACCCAGACUACCUCCAGUGAGGGAAAUCGAGUUUGGAAUUGAAUUGGUCCUCGGUACAACACCCAUCUCAAUUGCUCCAUAUAGGAUGGCUCCAACAGAGUUAAAAAAGUUGAAAGCAUAGUUGCAAGAGCUAACGGAUAAGGGUUUUGCGAGACCGAGUUUUUACCAUGGUGUAACACCUCUUACCCAUAUCCAAGGCUGGAACAGAGUACGAGGCAUUACCAGACUUAACAAUACACAUAGACGAAAACUGGGCCAUAAAAUUUCAUUUAAUUCAAAAAUUUUUGAACACACGCAUAACAAACAAAGCUAACUACAUCAUUACAUCAAAACAUAGGACAUGGCACGAUUAAUUAAACUUAUAAACCAUAAUGGAUAAGGACCACAUCUCAUAAUCAUAUACGAUAACUCAAUGCAGGCUGAUACGUUUGGUCAAAAUCAUAAUAAAAAUACAUAUUACAAACCAACUUCCUAUACAUGUCACUCACUUGAUAUUUC
rnacentral:lncRNA from 1 species